UAUGUGAUCGUCUCUCGCAUAUCAAUAAGCGGAGGAAAAGAAACUAACAAGGAUUCCCUUAGUAACGGCGAGUGAAGCGGGAAGAGCUCAAAUUUGAAAUCUUCAAGGUUUUACCUUGACGAAUUGUAGUUUAAAGAAGUGUUUUCUGUUGAAGUUUUGGUAAAAGUUCUUUGGAAUAGGACAUCAUAGAGGGUGAGAAUCCCGUAUUUGACCUUUACUUUCAACUUUGUGAUACACUUUCAAAGAGUCGGAUUGUUUGGGAAUGCAGUCCAAAAUGGGUGGUAAAUUUCAUCUAAAGCUAAAUAUUGGCGAGAGACCGAUAGCGAACAAGUACCGUGAGGGAAAGAUGAAAAGAACUUUGAAAAGAGAGUUAAACAGUACGUGAAAUUGUCAAAAGGGAAGCGUUUGACACCAGUGUUGUUUUUCUGAAAAUCAAUUAAAGAACUGUUUAUGCUAAGUUGUUUAGACUUUAUCAGCUAUCUGUUUAGUUUUGAGCUUUUCUUUAAUGCACUUUUCAGUUAACAAGUCAACAUCAAUUUCUUUUGCUGUAAAAAAGCUUGAGGAAGGUGGCUUGAGAUUCGUCUUAAGUGUUUACAGCCUCUUGCCUAUGCAGUCGGAGAGAUUGAGGUCUGCAGCGUAGAUCCUUCGGGGCUAAAUGCAUUUGUGCUAAGUUAUAGCAUUUUAUAGACAACUUGUUGACUAUGAUUUGUCUUGUAGCUUACUCGCUUAUGUUAUUUUACCUACGCUUAGGAUGUUGAAGUCAUCGUAUCGCGC
rnacentral:rRNA from 1 species